rnacentral:rRNA from 1 species
GGAGGAAUAUUGGACAAUGGGGGAAACCCCGAUCCAGCAACGCCGCGUGAGGGAUGAAGGCCUUCGGGUCGUAAACCUCUUUUAAGGGAGACGAGAAAGGACGGUAUCCCUGGAAUAAGUCACGGCUAACUACGUGCCAGCAGCCGCGGUAAUACGUAGGUGACGAGCGUUAUCCGGAUUUACUGGGCGUAAAGCGCUUGUAGGUGGCUUUGUAAGUUGGGCGUGAAAACUCUGGGCUUAACCCAGAGACGCCGUCCAAUACUGCGAGGCUAGAGGAUGUCAGAGGAAGGUGGAAUUCCUGGUGUAGUAGUGAAAUGCGUAGAUAUCAGGAGGAACACCCGUGGCGAAGGCGGCCUUCUGGGGCAUUCCUGACACUGAGAAGCGAAAGCUAGGGGAGCAAACAGG